AGACUUGCAGAGCAAUGCUAUAAUGACUGGAGAGGUAAGACUUGCAGAGCAAUGCUAUAAUGACUGGAGAGGUAAGACUUGCAGAGCAAUACUAUAAUGACUGGAGAGGUAAGACUUGCAGAGCAAUGCUAUAAUGACUGGAGAGGUAAGACUUGCAGUGCUAUGUCAUAAUGACUGGAGAGGUAAGACUUGCAGAGCAAUACUAUAAUGACUGGAGAGGUAAGACUUGCAGAGCAAUGCUAUAAUGACUGGAGAGGUAAGACUUGCAGAGCAAUACUAUAAUGACUGGAGAGGUAAGACUUGCAGAGCAAUGUCAUAAUGACUGGAGAGGUAAGACUUGCAGAGCAAUACUAUAAUGACUGGAGAGGUAAGACUUGCAGAACAAUACUAUAAUGACUGGAGAGUUAAGACUUGCAGAGCAAUACUAUAAUGACUGGAGAGGUAAGACUUGCAGAGCUAUGUCAUAAUGACUGGAGAGGUAAGACUUGCAGAGCAAUGUCAUAAUGACUGGAGAGGUAAGACUUGCAGAGCAAUACUAUAAUGACUGGAGAGGUAAGACUUGCAGAGCAAUACUAUAAUGACUGGAGAGGUAAGACUUGCAGAGCUAUGUCAUAAUGACUGGAGAGGUAAGACUUGCAGAGCUAUGUCAUAAUGACUGGAGAGGUAAGACUUGCAGAGCAAUACUAUAAUGACUGGAGAGGUAAGACUUGCAGAGCAAUGUGAUAAUGACUGGAGAGGUAAGACUUGCAGAGCUAUGUCAUAAUGACUGGAGAGGUAAGACUUGCAGAGCAAUGCUAUAAUGACUGGAGAGGUAAGACUUGCAGAGCAAUGCUAUAAUGACUGGAGAGGUAAGACUUGCAGAGCAAUGCUAUAAUGACUGGAGAGGUAAGACUUGCAGAGCAAUGCCAUAAUGACUGUAGAGGUAAGACUUGCAGAGCAAUGCUAUAAUGACUGGAGAGGUAAGACUUGCAGAGCUAUGUCAUAAUGACCGGAGAGGUAAGACUUGCAGAGCAAUGCUAUAAUGACUGGAGAGGUAAGACUUGCAGAGCUAUGUCAUAAUGACUGGAGAGGUAAGACUUGCAGAGCAAUGCUAUAAUGACUGGAGAGGUAAGACUUGCAGAACAAUACUAUAAUGACUGGAGAGGUAAGACUUGCAGAGCAAUACUAUAAUGACUGGAGAGGUAAGACUUGCAGAACAAUACUAUAAUGACUGGAG